GACGAACGCUGGCGGCGUGCCUAAUACAUGCAAGUAGAACGCUGAAGGAAGGAGCUUGCUCUUUCCGGAUGAGUUGCGAACGGGUGAGUAACGCGUAGGUAACCUGCCUGGUAGCGGGGGAUAACUAUUGGAAACGAUAGCUAAUACCGCAUAACAGUAGAUAUCGCAUGAUAUUUGCUUGAAAGGUGCAAUUGCACCACUACCAGAUGGACCUGCGUUGUAUUAGCUAGUUGGUGAGGUAACGGCUCACCAAGGCAACGAUACAUAGCCGACCUGAGAGGGUGAUCGGCCACACUGGGACUGAGACACGGCCCAGACUCCUACGGGAGGCAGCAGUAGGGAAUCUUCGGCAAUGGACGGAAGUCUGACCGAGCAACGCCGCGUGAGUGAAGAAGGUUUUCGGAUCGUAAAGCUCUGUUGUAAGAGAAGAACGAGUGUGAGAGUGGAAAGUUCACACUGUGACGGUAUCUUACCAGAAAGGGACGGCUAACUACGUGCCAGCAGCCGCGGUAAUACGUAGGUCCCGAGCGUUGUCCGGAUUUAUUGGGCGUAAAGCGAGCGCAGGCGGUUAGAUAAGUCUGAAGUUAAAGGCUGUGGCUUAACCAUAGUACGCUUUGGAAACUGUUUAACUUGAGUGCAAGAGGGGAGAGUGGAAUUCCAUGUGUAGCGGUGAAAUGCGUAGAUAUAUGGAGGAACACCGGUGGCGAAAGCGGCUCUCUGGCUUGUAACUGACGCUGAGGCUCGAAAGCGUGGGGAGCAAACAGGAUUAGAUACCCUGGUAGUCCACGCCGUAAACGAUGAGUGCUAGGUGUUAGACCCUUUCCGGGGUUUAGUGCCGUAGCUAACGCAUUAAGCACUCCGCCUGGGGAGUACGACCGCAAGGUUGAAACUCAAAGGAAUUGACGGGGGCCCGCACAAGCGGUGGAGCAUGUGGUUUAAUUCGAAAGCACGCGAAGAACCUUUUACAGGUCUGACAUCCCUCUGACCGCUCUAGAGAUAGAGUUUUCCUUCGGGACAGAAGGUGACAGGUGGGCCAUGGUGGUCGUCAGCUCGUGUCGUGAGAUGUUGGGUUAAGUCCCGCAACGAGCGCACCCCCUAUUGUUAGUUGCCAUCAUUCAGUUGGGCACUCUAGCGAGACUGCCGGUAAUAAACCGGAGGAAGGUGGGGAUGACGUCAAACCAUCAUGCCCCUUAUGACCUGGGCUACACACGUGCUACAAUGGUUGGUACAACGAGUCGCAAGCCGGUGACGGCAAGCUAAUCUCUUAAAGCCAAUCUCAGUUCGGAUUGUAGGCUGCAACUCGCCUACAUGAAGUCGGAAUCGCUAGUGAUCGCGGAUCAGCACGCCGCGGUGAAUACGUUCCCGGGCCU
rnacentral:rRNA from 1 species